rnacentral:rRNA from 1 species
AUGAUUCGUGGGACGUCCUGCCGGUGGUGGCGAGUCGAAGGCGAGCUCCCGUCGUGGUUCCCACUUCGGUUCUUGCUCGCCCGAGGCGGACCCCGAUGAAAUCCUACCGCGGUGCUCUUCACCGAGUGUCGAGGUGGGCCGGCACGUUUACUUUGAACAAAUUAGAGUGCUUAAAGCAGGCCUGUUGCGCCUGAAUACUGUGUGCAUGGAAUAAUGGAAUAGGACCUCGGUUCUAUUUUGUUGGUUUUCGGAACCCGAGGUAAUGAUUAAUAGGGACAGGCGGGGGCAUUCGUAUUGCGACGUUAGAGGUGAAAUUCUUGGAUCGUCGCAAGACGGACCGAAGCGAAAGCAUUUGCCAAGUAUGUUUUCAUUAAUCAAGAACGAAAGUUAGAGGUUCGAAGGCGAUCAGAUACCGCCCUAGUUCUAACCAUAAACGAUGCCAGCUAGCGAUCCGCCGAAGUUCCUCCGAUGACUCGGCGGGCAGCUCCCGGGAAACCAAGCUUUUGGGUUCCGGGGAAGUAUGGUUGCAAGCUGAACUUAAGGAAUUGACGGAGGGC